GGGGGGGGGUGUUGUGGUUAUGCGAAAUGGCGGGAACAGGGGAAGCAGAUUGUGAAGAAGAAUCGGACGGAAAGCGAUGCUUCUUCAUAUGGGAUGAAGACGAAUCUCAGCUGUACUACCAUCCUAGUUUCAGUGCAGGCCUAUAAGUCGAGGAGUCAUAGCGUUAGCCUCCAUGUCAACUUAUGAUCCCUCCAACCCAUUGGGGCUUCCCAGAAUUUGUCAAUUGAUCAGAAUAUCCAACAACUGUCACGAUCCAGAGGAAAGACUAUAGCUCGAGUGCUUCACAAGGAUUUGUCUUCAUUGCCAGUUGUGACAAUGGCUUUUGAACUACUUAUUGGGCCAAUGUUCUAAGAAUCAUUGAGCUGGUACUUGGGCUGCUUGUUGGGGUAGAAGAGGCCAAAAUGCGCCUCAGUCUCAGCUCCAUCCUUCUGGUUCUCAUCAAACAUGGCGAACAAGUAUGUUUCUAUGGCGUUUCCCGGCCUCAUUGGAGUCCCUGAUCCCUUCACAUGCUCAAUCAAAUUCCUGUAGUAUGUUGCUGCGUUCUCCAUGGUUGCUCCGGUGCCUCCUUCCGACGGCCACCCACUCUCUGAUACAACUAUCUCCAUGCCUCCCCCGCCGGCCCUCUCCACGGCCGCGUGCAUGGCAUCCAGCAUUGCGUCAAACAGGUUCCGAUAUCCAAACUCGCCGUCCUGCACCACCACUCCGGCGGGCGUGAACAACGCAUAUGGGAGCUGAAUGUUCUGGGUAUCUCCUGUUACAUCAGCUCAUAUUGUUUUGUUAUACAUAUAAUACUUGAAUUUGUAUACAUUUAACGAAUGAAGCAAUGCUCACCGGCAUAGGCAAAGUAAGGAUAUAUGUUGGCAAGCAAUGGAGCUCCGGUCUUGGCCAGGAAGUCGAUGAUGGGGACAAUGAACGACCUGGCAUCGUCCCUGAAAGAGCCCUGCGACGGUGGGUAUGAAUUUCCCAGCAGUCCCAUGUACGUUGCAGUCGAGACCUUGAUCCAACCUUGCAGGCCGGCAGCUGCAAGAGCGCUGCGAAUGUUCUGCAUCGCUGGGAGAACAAACUGCGUGAAGACAGACGACGACACGCCAUUAGGGUCCACCUCGUUUCCCACUGAGAUGUACCGGAACUUGACGUCUGGGAAGAAGACGACGACGUUCCUCAGAACCCACUGCGCCGCGGCCGAGGAGUCCAUUGCCAGAGCCUGAAGAUCAGAGUUGGGAACAUCAAGGAUGAGCUCAAUGUUGGAGGCUCUCAGGGCUCGGAGAAUUGCAUGACGCCUACAUAUGGGCCAACUGCAUUUGAGGAGCCAAUGUUCAAAUCAAAUCAAAAUUACAUUUCAUCCAAAGAUUGAGAAACACAGAGAUGGAGGAGUUGGAAAGGCGGCUAGCUAAAUAGAGCAGAAAUUGAACUUGAAGAAUACUGCAAACCUUGCAUUGUUGUUGGUGAAGAAGCCAUGGAAGAGCUAGAACUAAGCAAAUGAAGCUUGAGAUAAUUGUUUGAUUAAAUUUAAUUUAGCUCACCUCUCCUCAUGCAGCCUUUAAAUAUAUGAUGAAGAGUUGAAGCUCAACUCUUCCAUGCCACUUGUCCAAUAUUUUAAAUAUUUAUCAAAGUGCAAGCUGUCUUUAUUUUUUUUUAAUAACAUAUAAAUUUUAAUAAA